GACGAACGCUGGCGGCAUGCUUAACACAUGCAAGUCGAACGGAAAGGCCCUGCUUUCGUGGGGUGCUCGAGUGGCGAACGGGUGAGUAACACGUGAGUAACCUGCCCUUGACUUUGGGAUAACUUCAGGAAACUGGGGCUAAUACCGGAUAGGAGCUCCUGCUGCAUGGUGGGGGUUGGAAAGUUUCGGCGGUUGGGGAUGGACUCGCGGCUUAUCAGCUUGUUGGUGGGGUAGUGGCUUACCAAGGCUUUGACGGGUAGCCGGCCUGAGAGGGUGACCGGACACAUUGGAACUGAGAUACGGCCCAGACUCCUACGGGAGGCAGCAGUGGAGAAUAUUGCACAAUGGGCGGAAGCCUGAUGCAGCAACGCCGCGUGCGGGAUGACGGCCUUCGGGUUGUAAACCGCUUUAGCCUGUGACGAAGCGUGAGUGACGGUAAUGGGUAAAGAAGCACCGGCUAACUACGUG
rnacentral:rRNA from 1 species